ACUUCCCAAACCCAAUGUGAACCAUACCAAACUGUUGCCUCGGCGGGGUCACGCCCCGGGUGCGUCGCAGCCCCGGAACCAGGCGCCCGCCGGAGGGACCAACGUAACUCUUUCUGUAGUCCCCUCGCGGACGUUAUUUCUUACAGCUCUGAGCAAAAAUUCAAAAUGAAUCAAAACUUUCAACAACGGAUCUCUUGGUUCUGGCUUCGAUGAAGAACGCAGCGAAAUGCGAUAAGUAAUGUGAAUUGCAGAAUUCAGUGAAUCAUCGAAUCUUUGAACGCACAUUGCGCCCCCCAGUAUUCUGGCGGGCAUGCCUGUCCGAGCGUCAUUUCAACCCUCGAACCCCUCCGGGGGGUCGGCGUUGGGGACUUCGGGAACCCCUAAGACGGGAUCCCGGCCCCGAAAUACAGUGGCGGUCUCGCCGCAGCCUCUCCUGCGCAGUAGUUUGCACAACUCGCACCGGGAGCGCGGCGCGUCCACGUCCGUAAAACACCCAACUUCUGAAAUGUUGACCUCGGAUCAGGUAGGAAUACCCGCUGAACUUAAGCAUAUCAAUAAGCGGAGGAA
rnacentral:rRNA from 1 species